UACGAAGGGGGCUAGCGUUGUUCGGAAUCACUGGGCGUAAAGCGCACGUAGGCGGAUUUUUAAGUCAGGGGUGAAAUCCCGGGGCUCAACCUCGGAACUGCCUUUGAUACUGGAGAUCUUGAGUCCGGAAGAGGUAAGUGGAACUGCGAGUGUAGAGGUGAAAUUCGUAGAUAUUCGCAAGAACACCAGUGGCGAAGGCGGCUUACUGGUCCGGUUCUGACGCUGAGGCGCGAAAGCGUGGGGAGCAAACAGG
rnacentral:rRNA from 1 species